GUCAGAAUGGCUGAGUGGUUAAAGGCGCUGUGUUUAGGCCGUAGUCUCCUCUGGAGGUGUGAGUUCAAAUCCCACUUCGGACA
rfam:Oreochromis niloticus linkage group LG5, whole genome shotgun sequence.